rnacentral:rRNA from 1 species
UACGGAGGGUGCAAGCGUUAUCCGGAUUCACUGGGUUUAAAGGGUGCGUAGGUGGGCAGGUAAGUCAGUGGUGAAAUCUCUGGGCUUAACCCGGAAACUGCCGUUGAUACUAUCUGUCUUGAAUAUAGUGGAGGUGAGCGGAAUAUGUCAUGUAGCGGUGAAAUGCUUAGAUAUGACAUAGAACAUCGAUUGCGAAGGCAGCUCGCUACACUAUGAUUGACACUGAGGCACGAAAAGCGUGGGGAUCAAACAGG